UACAGAUGCCAUAUAAUGUGGUGUAAGGUGU
rnacentral:piRNA from 1 species